GAUGUCAGGUAUCAUUGCUAGAUGGUCACUUUGAUUGGUAUAGAAAGAUUAUUCUUAUACUACCGACUUAGAUUCAAACUUAUAGGGUCACACUCAAAAAAAGUUUCUGACUGAUCGUAUGGCUGAUCAACGAUUAAGAAUCGUUCUGGGAUAAAACAGUCUAUUCAAUUGAUGAUUAACCCUAUACAAAAGUUAUAAUAAAUUAAUUUAUUAAUUAUUGAUGAAUUAUA
rnacentral:lncRNA from 1 species